GUGGGAUGCCUCAUGGCAGGAUGUGGCCACAUCAGCCGUCAGGGAGCCUCUCUCAGCCUGACACUGUAUAUAGCACAGAGCUGUGAACAGAAGGCCUGUGUUGUCUCUGCACUGAACUGCCAGACGCGCCCCCUCUUAUCGAUGGAGUUUCGCUUUGCCACCUAGGCUGAAGUGCAAUGGCAUUAUCUGGGCUCACUGCAACCUCUCUCUCCAGGUUGAAGCAACUCUCCUGCCUCAGCCUCUUGAGUAGAUGGGAUUACAGACUGGGGGCUCACUCUGUCAUCCAGGCUGGAGUGCAGUGGCGCAAUCACGACUCCUUGUGGGCCUCAACCUUUCCAGGCCCAGGUAAUCCUCCCACCUCAGUUUUUGUAUUUUUAGUAGAGAUGAGGUUUCGCCAUGUUGCCCAGGUUGAUCCUGAACUCCUGGGCUCAAGCAAUCCACCCACUUUGGUCUCUCAAAGUGCUAGGAUUAUAGGCAUGAGCCACCGUACCUGGCAGUUUUUAUAUAUUUUCUGUUAG
rnacentral:lncRNA from 1 species